rnacentral:rRNA from 1 species
GCAGGCAGAUCCAUUUUCUGCCACCGAAUACAUUAGCAUGGGAUAAUGGAAUAGGACCCUGUCCUCCUAUUUUCAGUUGGUUUUGGCAGCGCGAGGACUAGGGUAAUGAUUAAUAGGGAUAGUUGGGGGCAUUAAUAUUUAAUUGUCAGAGGUGAAAUUCUUGGAUUUAUGAAAGAUUAACUUCUGCGAAAGCAUCUGCCAAGGAUGUUUUCAUUAAUCAAGAACGAAAGUUAGGGGAUCGAAGACGAUCAGAUACCGUCGUAGUCUUAACCAUAAACGAUGCCGACCAGCGAUUAGGAGACGUUGAAUACAAAACACCACCAUCGGUGCGGUCGUCCUUGGCGUUGGUCUUCAAAAGCCAGCGCGGGGGUGGCUUAGCCCGGUGGCACCGGUGAAUGACUCCCCUAGCAGCUUGUGAGAAA